CACGCGUGAAAUUACCAACGCCGUUAUCUAUAAUUUAUUUACUCAUUUGCUUAUUGUUUCUGUGUCCCUAUCAACAGCGUGAAGGAGAGGGUGCAGGGCGUGUUCGUUAACUAGGACGCCGUGGUAACAGCCCACGCUUCUCUAGCUGGCUAACUGUGAUAUGGGAGCUUUGCUUUCUCUGCUUCCUCCCCACCUCUCAGACCCACCUCUCUACCGACCCACCUCUCAGAUCCACCUCUCCAACUCUCCACCACCCCAACUCUCAGAUCCACCUAUCAGACCCACCUCUCUACUGACCCACCUCUUAGACCCACCUCUCUACCGACCCACCUUUCCACCUCCCCACCCCACCUCUCAGAUCCACCUGUCAUACCCACCUCUCAGAGCCACCCACCUCUCCACCUCUCUACUGAUCCACCUGUCCACCCCAACUCUCCACCACCCCACCUCUCAGAUCCACCCAUCAGACCCACCUCUCUAUUGACCCACCUCUCUACUGACCCACCUUUCAGACCACCCCACCUCUCAGACCCACCCCACCUCUCAGACCCACCCCACCUCUCCACUGCAGGACUCAGUCCCAACUAAUUUACCGGUUUGGGUAUGGUGAAGGGGGUAUGGAUUUUUUUUCCAUCAGCCAAUGACAGCGCAAUGAGGCGAUAUGAGGUCUGUGUGCUAAUGAGCUGACACUGCAGUGGGGGCUGAGCUGAGGAGACAGAGGAGAGGAAAGGGGACAAGAUGAGAGGAGAGCCACAAUGACCAGCGGGCCAGACACAUCGGGCCAAUGUGGUUCCAAUUACACAGACGAGGAGUGGGCAGAACCACAGAGGACCAGAGACGUCUGUUUACAAGGCUCUGCAGCAGAACAUUUAUGAUGUCAAGAGUAGGCCAUUGUCUUUUCCCUAUCUGGGCAAACCUUUUGACCACAUCCAGAUGCUGAGUCUACGGAGGAACAACAUGAAUUGGUGCAUUCAGCAGGAAUAAUCUAGUGCGACUUAAGUUCUCCACCAGCUGGAAGACUGUCCUCUUUUCUCAGCGGAGGGAAGGAGAGCAAAGGGAUUUUGAGUCGGGUGAGAGGCAGCCUCACACUGUCCUCAACAGGAGUACCGCUGAGGACAGGGGUGUCUCUCACAGGUGAAGGAUCUUUUAAACAAACAAGAAGAGUUCUACAAGCAGUUGUUACAACAACGAGAAUGUAGCUUCAAGUGUUUUGUCCAAAUACUGGUGGAGUCAACUAAUAAAAGAAUGGACCUGACCAGAGAGGUCCAGGACCUGAAGAACAGUUUGCUGUUCUCCCAGGGUCAACUCGAUGAGUUGAAACAGGAGAACGGCAAGAUGACAGCAAUCAGUAAGUCAUUGAGAGAGAACAUCAGUUCUGUGUGUGAAUCCAUGAUGACAAGGGAGGGACAAUCAAGGCAGAAUAGCUUGUUGUGGACGGAAUUGCAGAAUCUCCACGAGACCUGGACGGAGUCUGAGGACAAUGUGAGGGAAAUUAUCUCUGAGAAAUUGAAGAUGGACACACAGGAAGAUUGAGGUGGGGUGCACUCACAGGAAUGGAAAACCCACGACAGGCCCAGGCCCAGGCGACAGGCCCAGGCGACAGGCCAAGUUCCUGAGGUUCAAGGACAAGGUAACUGUUCUGGAAAAGCCAAGAACGUGAGAGGAACGUGCAUCUUCAACAAGGUCUAUCCUGAAGCUGUGCACCAGAAGAGGAAAGAACUGAUCCCAGCCAUGAAAGCUGCCACAGCACGUGGGGACAUUGCUUACAACCUCUAUGACAAGAUCAUUAUCCACCCUCCUUCCCAGAAGCCUGGACAGGAUGAGAGAGCCAAGACCACAGCACACACCAGUUGAUUAAUGGACUGCUGAAUGUAUAUAUUUUUGUCUUGCUUUGUCUGCUCUUUUCCAUAUUAUGUCUAUCUCUGAUAAGCCACCCAGGAAAGGGCUGAAAAUAGCCCAUAUGAAUAUAUGUAGCAAUAUAAAUAAGGUUAAUGAAAUCAGUAUCUUGCUAACAUCAGGUAACAUUCAUAUUAGCCAUUUCUGAGACUCAUUUACAUCAUUCAUUUGAUGAUACAGCAGUAGCAAUACAAGGAUAUAACAAGAGACAGAAAUGCUUAUAGGGGAAGUGUUGCUGUGUGUGUAACAUAUAUAUUCAGAGCCAUAUCCCUAUAAUGCUUAGAGAAGAUCUUAUGUCAAGUGUUAUUGAAGUGUUGUGCCUAGUGAACAUGCAACCACAUCUAAAGCCUUUUUCCUUUGGGGUGUUGCUAUAGGCCACCAAGUGCUAACCGUCAGAAUCUAAAUAAUAUGUGUCAAAUGCUUGAUAGUGUAUGUGUUGUAAACAUAGAGGUUUACUUUCUUGGGGACUGGUUUUCAUCAAGCAGUCCGCUCAAGAGGAAGCUUCUCACUGUAACCAGUGCCUGUAAUCUGGUUCAGGUUAUUAAUCAACCUACCAGGGUGUUUACAAACACUACUGGAACAAGAUCAUCCACAUUUUUACUAAUACUGUAGAACUUUGUUCUAAAGCUGUAUCCGUACCCAUUGGAUGCACUGAUCACAAUAUAGUGGCUAUUAUCCUGAAAGCCAAAGUUCCAAAAGCUGGGCCUAAAAUAGUGUAUGAGAAAUCAUACACAAGAUUUUUCUGUGACUUUUAUGUGGAUGAUGUUAAAAAUAUUUAUUGGUCUGAUGUGUUCAAUAAGGAGCAUCCAGAUGCUGCACUUGAUAAGAAGCAAUUUCAUGAAUUUACAAUUAUUGAUGCACCUGUAAAGAAACUGACUGUUAGAACUGUUAAGGCUCCAUUGAUUGAGGCGGAAUUUAAAAACUGUAUGGUUGAAAGAGAUGGUGCAAAAGGAGUGUCUAAUAAGUCUGGCUGUACAUCUGACUGGCUGACUUACUGCAAAUUGAGAAAUUAUGUGACUAAACUCAACAAAAAAUAAGAAGAAACUAUAUUAUGAAGCCAAGAUCAAUUAUAUAAAGACUGAUGGAAAAACAAAAAAACUUGGGAGUACUUUAAAUGAAAUAUGGGCAGAAAGACAUUCAACUUCAUCUUUCAUCAAAUCCGAUGGCUUAUUCAUCACAAAACCAUUUGAUGUUGCCAAUUAAGUUAAUGAUAACUUCAUGGGCAAAGUGGGAAAACUUAGGCAGGAAAUGCCACCAACGAACAGUGAGCCAUCGUAUUCAAGCAUAAAAAAAACUAAUAAUAAAAGACAAUCAUUGCAAGUUUGCAUUUUGUAAAGUUUUUGUGGGAGAGGUGAAACCUUGUUGUUAUCGAUCAAUAAUGACAAGCCUCCUGGCACUGACAACAUUGAUGGAA